AAUAAUACCCAGGUAGUCCACGCCGUAAACGAUGAGUGCUAAGUGUUAGAGGGUUUCCGCCCUUUAGUGCUGAAGUUAACGCAUUACGCACUCCGCCUGGGGAGUACGGCCGCAAGGCUGAAACUCAAAGGAAUUGACGGGGGCCCGCACAAGCGGUGGAGCAUGUAGUUUAAUUCGAAGCAACGCGAAGAACCUUACCAGGUCUUGACAUCCUCUGACAACCCUAGAGAUAGGGCUUCUCCUUCGGGAGCAGAGUGACAGGUGGUGCAUGGUUGUCGUCAGCUCGUGUCGUGAGAUGUUGGGUUAAGUCCCGCAACGAGCGCAACCCUUGAUCUUAGUUGCCAUCAUUAAGUUGGGCACUCUAAGGUGACUGCCGGUGACAAACCGGAGGAAGGUGGGGAUGACGUCAAAUCAUCAUGCCCCUUAUGACCUGGGCUACACACGUGCUACAAUGGACGGUACAAAGAGCUGCAAGACCGCGAGGUGGAGCUAAUCUCAUAAAACCGUUCUCAGUUCGGAUUGUAGG
rnacentral:rRNA from 1 species